rnacentral:rRNA from 1 species
GACGAACGCUGGCGGCGUGCUUAACACAUGCAAGUCGAACGAUGAACCCGGAGCUUGCUCCGGUGGAUUAGUGGCGAACGGGUGAGUAACACGUUGGUAUCUGCCCUCUGGUCAGGGAUAGCCAUUCGAAAGGAUGAUUAAUACCGGAUAGUCUCGAAAGAGUAAAGAUUUAUUGCCAGAGGAGGAACCUGCGGCCUAUCAGCUAGUUGGUGAGGUAGAAGCUCACCAAGGCUAUGACGGGUAGCUGAUCUGAGAGGAUGAUCAGCCACAAUGGAACUGAGACACGGUCCAUACUCCUACGGGAGGCAGCAGUGAGGAAUCUUCCGCAAUGGGGGCAACCCUGAUGGAGCGACACCGCGUGAAGGAUGAAGAUCUAACGAUUGUAAACUUCUUUUCUGAGGGAGCAUAAUGAGAGUACCUCAGGAAUAAGGGACGGCUAAAUACGUGCCAGCCGCCGCUGUAA